UGCACCUUGAGGCAAGCCACUGAAUCUGUGAUAUAUUUGAUGAAAACUACUCCCGACCCUCAUCAUCCCCGAGGUUCCCUCCUCCGUGACGCACCUUGUUGCACUUCACACAGUGGAUCGGCUGCAGGGUGGCGUUCCCCUGAUGGAGCAGAUGUGGCCCAGAGACACUUGGGAUUCAUUGCAGAGGGUCAGCAGACAAAGAGGCGAGCCACAGAGGGCUUCCUUGGAUUCACAGAAGCUUGUGCUGUUCCUGACCCACAUGGGCCAUGGUGGAUGUACAGCUAGUUCAGCUUGCCACUGAGGACAAUU